CCCUUAGACACUCUAGGCGGCACGCGCGCUACAAUGGGUGGAAGUACGUGUUACUGCCUCCGAAAGGAGGGGUGAAUCACGAAUUCUUGCCCGUGAAUGGGAUAGUUUGUUGCAAUUUUCGGACUUGAACUAGGAAUCCCUUGUAAACAUGCUCAAGAAUAGCGUGUUGAAUACGUCCCUGCCGUUUGUACACACCGCCCGUCGUUUCUUCCGACUGAUACUCAUUGUGAGUUGCAAGGACCCUUUAUUGGGAAAUUGCUGCAAAUGCUUUGUAUUGGAGGAAGAAAAAGUCGUAACA
rnacentral:rRNA from 1 species